rnacentral:rRNA from 1 species
GACGAACGCUGGCGGCGUGCUUAACACAUGCAAGUCGAACGGAAAGGCCCUGCUUUUGUGGGGUGCUCGAGUGGCGAACGGGUGAGUAACACGUGAGUAACCUGCCCUUGACUUUGGGAUAACUUCAGGAAACUGGGGCUAAUACCGGAUAGGAGCUCCUGCUGCAUGGUGGGGGUUGGAAAGUUUCGGCGGUUGGGGAUGGACUCGCGGCUUAUCAGCUUGUUGGUGGGGUAGUGGCUUACCAAGGCUUUGACGGGUAGCCGGCCUGAGAGGGGGACCGGCCACAUUGGGACUGAGAGACGGCCCAGACUCCUACGGGAGGCAGCAGUGGGGAAUAUUGCACAGUGGGCGGAAGCCUGAUGCAGCAACGCCGCGUGCGGGAUGACGGGCUUCGGGUUGUAAACCGCUUUCGCCUGUGACGAGGCGUGAGUGACGGUAAUGGGUAAAGAAGCACCGGCUAACUACGUG